rnacentral:rRNA from 1 species
AUUGAACGCUGGCGGCAUGCCUUACACAUGCAAGUCGAACGGUAACGGGCCUUCGGGUGCCGACGAGUGGCGAACGGGUGAGUAAUGUAUCGGAACGUACCUUUCAGUGGGGGAUAACGUAGCGAAAGUUACGCUAAUACCGCAUAUUCUGUGUGCAGGAAAGCAGGGGAUCGCAAGACCUUGCGCUGAUUGAGCGGCCGAUAUCAGAUUAGCUAGUUGGGGAGGUAAAGGCUCACCAAGGCGACGAACUGUAGCGGGUCUGAGAGGAUGAUCCGCCACACUGGAACUGAGACACGGUCCAGACUCCUACGGGAGGCAGCAGUGGGGAAUUUUGGACAAUGGGGGCAACCCUGAUCCAGCCAUGCCGCGUGAGUGAAGAAGGCCUUCGGGUUGUAAAGCUCUUUCGGCCGGGAAGAAAUCGUAUCAGCUAAUACCUGGUGCGGAUGACGGUACCGGCAUAAGAAGCACCGGCUAACUACGUGCCAGCCGCCGCGGUAAAAC